CCAAAAUCAAAUGACAAAAAAAGGAGCGAGUGUAUGUUUUCGUUUGGUACGAGGUUUACCACAUCAGUUGGGUUUUUCCCUUGCGUUUCAGAGUGAGUGGGUUUUUUCGUCUUCGAAUUUUUAUUUGUUUCAUAGGAAGCAGCAAGACAUCCGUGGGUUCCUGAUGUAAAUCCCAAAUGAGCAAAAAGGCCUUUCCUUUCUUCUUCUUUGUCAUUUUCCUUUUUAUCUUUUAUUUCUUUGGAUUCCGAUCAGAUCCUCCUAAAUAAUUCCCAAUUAUUCCUUUUCGCACAGUUGAUAGAUCUGUUGGGUGGGCAGUGAAAGCUUGGUGAAUGGGGUUUCAGACUAUGGCUUCUCAAGGUAACGGCCAGCAGUCUCAUUUUCAGCCGUCUCCAUUGUUGAGGCAGCCCUCAUGGUAUAGCCUCACUCUUGAUGAAGUUAAAAAUCAAUUAGGAGACACGGGAAAGCCACUGGGCAGCAUGAAUCUUGACGAGCUUCUACAGAACUUAUGGACUGCUGAAGCAAAUCAAUCCAUUGAGAUGGAUAUUGAGAACACCUCCUCAGCAUCUUCACUCCAACGUCAGGCCAGCUUAACAUUGGCUAGAGCUUUGAGUGGGAAGACGGUUGAUGAGGUAUGGAGAGAGAUCCAGCAAGGGCAGAAGAAAAGGUAUGGGGAGGACAUGAAAUGUCAGGAUACUGAGAUAACACUCGGUGAAACAACUCUAGAAGACUUCUUGGUACAAGCAGGACUUUUUGCAGAAGCUUCUUUGAGUCCUGCUAUUGCAUUGGAUACUAUUGAAGUGGCCAUCCCUCAGAGUUAUCCACAUAACCUGGGGUUAUCGUCAUCCCCAUCAUUUGGUACACAUUCGGAUACAACGACGCCCGGGCGUAAAAGGGAUGCAUCAGAUGCAUAUGAGAAGACUGUUGAGAGAAGAUUAAGGAGAAAAAUCAAGAACAGAGAAUCUGCUGCACGUUCACGUGCUAGAAAGCAGGCAUAUCAUAAUGAGUUGGUGAGCAAAGUUUCGCGUCUAGAAGAGGAGAACAUAAAGCUCAAGAAAGAGAAGAAGAAAAUUACAAAGAAAUGUGAUGUGGAUACCAUGGUGGGACUCCUUGAAUUUUAUUUUGGAGGUGACAUUUUGAGAGAUGGAGGAAAGUAGUUCCGUGGUUGACAAAUUUUGGAGUUGAAGUCGGUGACCCACUUUGACCUUUUUUUGUAUACCUUAGUGGUUGACACUUUAAGUGGUUCAGUGGAUAUUGCAAAGGAGCUUCAGCCAGUAGAGAGACUAUUAAUUGGUAGGAAAGUUUACAAGUUUCUCAUUUGCAAAUUCUCAGUGAUACAGGGUAAUUAUGAAUCUGACAGUUGAGCCUUUUUUAUGCAUUAUUUGGUUUUACAGUAAAUAGGUCUAAAAGUUGAAUUAGCAAGAACCAAAAUUGGAGGCUGCAGGUUGUGUAGUUGACCUAUGAAUAGUUGUUCAGCAGCAGUCCGUGCACUCUUACUUUUUGGGAUCCAAUUGUGGAGAAAGUAGAGAAGAGGUUGGAAGAGUGGAAAACAGCAUAUUUCUAGAGGAUGUGCUUACAAUUAUAAGCAAGUGGCCAAAAGCUUAGAGAAACUAAUGAAAAUUUUUUGUGGAAAGGUUUUGGAGAAAGGAAUAGAAUUCAUUUGGUAAAAGUGGGAAAUUUGGUUUUGUUGCCAUGAGAAGGGUGGUUUUGGGAUGGGUAAUUUGGACAUGAUGUGACUGCUUGGGAAGUGGUUGGGGAGAGUUCCUUCGGAAAGGGUACUUUUGGCAUUACCAGCAUUAAACCAAAUAUGCCUUGCAUGUGAAGGGUACCUUUCGGAAGUGGUUGGGUUAUGCCUUACAUGUCAAUGGCUAGGGAUUCUAAUAUAGUGGAAUAAGAAUGGAUAGGAAGAAAAAAGAGAUCCGGACUCAUCCCGGUCUUUGGCAUCACACCAAAGGUUUCCAGUAGAGAAAUUAGAAAAUUCCGGCAUCGCACUGGCCUUUGACGUCACACUGAAGGUGCCUUGGAAUCACUCUCCAAGUCAACCUGUGCCUCACACACAAGCAGAAUUUGAGAAGAUGUUGCCAUCUGCAUUAUCAGCGGAACCAAAAUAUCAGCUUCGAAGAAUAAGUUCAGCCUUUUUCUGAGUUGUCUCUGCACCCAGCA